rnacentral:rRNA from 1 species
UGGGGAAUAUUUCACAAUGGGCGCAAGCCUGAUGCAGCCAUGCCGCGUGUGUGAAGAAGGCCUUCGGGUUGUAAAGCACUUUCAGCGGGGAGGAAGGCGGUGAGGUUAAUAACCUCAUCGAUUGACGUUACCCGCAGAAGAAGCACCGGCUAACUCCGUGCCAGCAGCCGCGGUAAUACGGAGGGUGCAAGCGUUAAUCGGAAUUACUGGGCGUAAAGCGCACGCAGGCGGUUUGUUAAGUCAGAUGUGAAAUCCCCGGGCUCAACCUGGGAACUGCAUCUGAUACUGGCAAGCUUGAGUCUCGUAGAGGGGGGUAGAAUUCCAGGUGUAGCGGUGAAAUGCGUAGAGAUCGGGAGGAAUACCGGUGGCGAAGGCGGCCCCCUGGACGAAGACUGACGCUCAGGUGCGAAAGCGUGGGGAGCAAACAGG